GACGAACGCUGGCGGCGUGCUUAACACAUGCAAGUCGAACGGAAAGGCCCUGCUUUUGUGGGGUGCUCGAGUGGCGAACGGGUGAGUAACACGUGAGUAACCUGCCCUUGACUUUGGGAUAACUUCAGGAAACUGGGGCUAAUACCGGAUAGGAGCUCCUGCUGCAUGGCGGGGGUUGGAAAGUUUCGGCGGUUGGGGAUGGACUCGCGGCUUAUCAGCUUGUUGGUGGGGUAGUGGCUUACCAAGGCUUUGACGGGUAGCCGGCCUGAGAGGGUGACCGGCCACAUUGGGACUGAGAUACGGCCCAGACUCCUACGGGAGGCAGCAGUGGGGAAUAUUGCACAAUGGGCGGAAGCCUGAUGCAGCAACACCGCGUGCGGGAUGACGGCCUUCGGGUUGUAAACCGCUUUCGCCUGUGACGAAGCGUGAGUGACGGUAAUGGGUAAAGAAGCACCGGCUAACUACGUG
rnacentral:rRNA from 1 species